CCACCAUUUUCAACUACUGCAGCCCAUUUUCAACAGCAAGAUUUACGGUAAUAAUGAAAGGAAAUUCUCCCUCUUUCAAUUUUCUUCACUACAGAUUUCUAACUUAUGCUAUACACAUAAUUAUGCAGAGACAAAAAUCCACCUAUUCAAGGUCCAGACGGGAAGUGAUAGCUAAAGAGGGAAGUAACUCUACGCCCGUUGUGGGAACGAAUAAGGUUGAGCGAGUGAUGGAAUGGAGUGGAGUUGAGCGGAUGUACCUUUGAGACAUAGAACAGUAAUGUAACCUUGAGUAUACAUCUUCAUAUGUAUAACUCACGCGUAUUUCCGCUGCAAGAUACUCUGAUU